CCUGGCGGCGAUAGCGCGGUGGUCCCACCUGACCCCAUGCCGAACUCAGAAGUGAAACGCCGUAGCGCCGAUGGUAGUGUGGGGUCUCCCCAUGCGAGAGUAGGGAAC
rnacentral:rRNA from 1 species